UACGUAGGGUGCGAGCGUUAAUCGGAAUUACUGGGCGUAAAGCGUGCGCAGGCGGUUUUGUAAGUCAGAUGUGAAAUCCCCGGGCUUAACCUGAACUGCGUUUGAAACUACAAGGCUAGAGUUUGAGAGAGGGAGGUAGAAUUCCACGUGUAGCAGUGAAAUGCGUAGAUAUGUGGAGGAAUACCGAUGGCGAAGGCAGCCUCCUGGCUUAGAACUGACGCUCAUGCACGAAAGCGUGGGGAGCAAACAGG
rnacentral:rRNA from 1 species